rnacentral:rRNA from 1 species
CCAAUAGCGUAUAUUAGUGUUGUUGCGGUUAAAAAGCUCGUAGUUGAAUUUCGGGAUUGGGAUAUAUCGGUCGUGCCUUUAGGGGCAUGAAACGGUGUGUAGCCAAUUUCUCACCUUCUGGUGAGUCGGGAUGCUCUUGGGUGUUUCGAUGAAUCAGGACCUUUACUUUGAAAAAAUUAGAGUGUUUAAAGCGGGCAUUUUUGCUUGAAUACAUUAGCAUGGAAUAAUAAAAUAGGACGACGGUUUUAUUUUGUUGGUUUUAGGGCCACGUAAUGAUUAAUAGGGAUAGUUGGGGGCAUUAGUAUUCAAUUGUCAGAGGUGAAAUUCUUGGAUUUAUUGAGGACUAACUACUGCGAAAGCAUUUGCCAAGGAUGUUUUCAUUAAUCAAGAACGAAAGUUAGGGGAUCAAAGACGAUUUAUGUACGUCGUAGUCUUAACCAUAAACUAUGCCGACUAGGAAUCAGACAAAGUUCAUUUUUUAACGACUUGUUUGGUACCUUACG